AUGGAGCUCAACGUUCAGCUUCGUGCCUCUGAUGGUGACCUUCUUCCUAAUCCCACUCGCUAUCAUCACCUCGUUGGUAGCCUUGUCUACCUUGCUGUCACGCGUCCUGACAUCUCCUAUCCCGUUCACAUCCUGAGUCAGUUUGUCUCAGCCCCCACCUCUGUCCAUUAUAGUCACCUCCUCCGUGUUCUACGAUAUCUUCGUGGCACGAUCUCUCAGCGUCUUUUCUUUCCUCGCUCCAGUUCUCUUGAGCUCCAGGCUUACUCUGAUGCUACCUGGGCUAGUGAUCGCUCUGAUCGACGCUCGCUGUCUGCUUACUGUGUCUUUCUUGGUGGCUCCCUUAUUGCCUAG
rnacentral:rRNA from 1 species